rnacentral:tRNA from 1 species
AACUUCUGAAGGAUAUUAGUUAAUCCAUUGGUCUUAGGAACCAAAAACCCUUGGUGCAAAUCCAAGCAGUAGUUA